rnacentral:tRNA from 1 species
GCCGACGUAGCUCAAUUGGCAGAGCAAUAGUUUUGUAAACUAUAGGUUCUCGGUCCAAGUCCGAGCGUCGGCUCCA